GAUGAACGCUGGCGGCGUGCCUAAUACAUGCAAGUCGAGCGAACGGACGAGAAGCUUGCUUCUCUGAUGUUAGCGGCGGACGGGUGAGUAACACGUGGAUAACCUACCUAUAAGACUGGGAUAACUUCGGGAAACCGGAGCUAAUACCGGAUGAUAUUUUGAACCGCAUGGUUCAAAAGUGAAAGACGGUCUUGCUGUCACUUAUAGAUGGAUCCGCGCUGCAUUAGCUAGUUGGUAAGGUAACGGCUUACCAAGGCAACGAUGCAUAGCCGACCUGAGAGGGUGAUCGGCCACACUGGAACUGAGACACGGUCCAGACUCCUACGGGAGGCAGCAGUAGGGAAUCGUCCGCAAUGGGCGAAAGCCUGACGGAGCAACGCCGCGUGAGUGAUGAAGGUCUUCGGAUCGUAAAACUCCGUUAUUAGGGAAGAACAUAUGUGUAAGUAACUGUGCACAUCUUGACGGUACCUAAUCAGAAAGCCACGGCUAACUACGUG
rnacentral:rRNA from 1 species